rnacentral:lncRNA from 1 species
UGCUGGCUCGCGUUGGACCCUCGGCCAGGAGUGAGGAAGGUGGGCUAGCUUUCCGACCGUCCACGCCGCCUGCUUGUCGCGCCUCCUACGUCCCCACCUCCUUUCUGCCAGCCUCUCUGGAGAGCUGGACGAUUCCCUCCCCCCUUCCUGUCCCAUCUUCUGUGUCGUUUUGCAUCGUACGCCUCUUCCUACUCCUCUGGUCCGGACUCCUGGAGCCCCUGAGAGGGAGUGGGCGGCCCGAAGACACUGUCGCUUGAGAGGUUGGGAAGGGCAGAAGGAGAGGGAGAAUCUCAAGCAGACUUCCCUGCUGAGUGUGGAGCCCAACUCGGAGCUUGAUCCCACAAUCCUGAGAUCAUGACCUGAGCCGAAAUAAGAGUUGGACCCUCAACUGACUGAGCCUCCCAGGUGCCUAUUAAAGUAUAUUGGGUGAUGUACAAUCUAAAUAUUUUUUUCCUUCCUAUGUUAAAUUUUUUUUUUAUAAUCAUGGGGUGCCUGGAUGGCUCAGUCAGUUAAGCUGCUGCUUUUGUGUAAUGCUAGAUUAGUGAUGGUUUAGCGUGAGGGGCAAACUAGAAUUGAAGUGGUCCUUAGCACACCUUGAACAGGUGAUUGACAAAUACUGUUGAGUUGUAUAUCAGUUUAUCUCUUUUAUAAGGUAGGUUCCAACUACCAAAUGUAUUAAAAUACUUAGGAAUUGGAAGGAGUAGAUAGAAGAAUAUUCAUCAUUUUAAAAAAUUAUAAUCCCUAGUGCUAAAGUACUAAAGGAAUAUGAAUGAGGUUUUUUUUUUUUUCUUUUCUUUUCUUUUUUUUUUUUUGUUAUAUUUCUGGGGCUUAAUCUUUGGUAAGUUUAGAGCCUCUCAGAAAAUAAAAAUUAAUUGCAAUAUGUAUUAGCUAUUGCUGUAUAAGAAAUUGUCCUAGAACUCAGUGGCUUAAAGCAGCAGUUAAUUAUCGAUCAUACAUCUGCAGAGCAGCUGUGGGUUAGGUGACUUAGGUUAGGCUUGGUUGAGCAGUUGUGGGUGUGGGUGGGCUUUAUUUCUUUCUCAUUGUGGGUUGGGCUUGGCACCUCAUUUGG